GAGAGAGCCCUUCGUUAUUUUAUAAAAGCUGAAAGUUUCUCUGCGUAUUGUCCCCAAACACAGGGAGAAAAGAUCAGCUACUAUGAAGUUUCGAUCAUGGUG